UAGGGAAUCUUCGGCAAUGGACGGAAGUCUGACCGAGCAACGCCGCGUGAGUGAAGAAGGUUUUCGGAUCGUAAAGCUCUGUUGUAAGAGAAGAACGAGUGUGAGAGUGGAAAGUUCACACGGUGACGGUAUCUUACCAGAAAGGGACGGCUAACUACGUGCCAGCAGCCGCGGUAAUACGUAGGUCCCGAGCGUUGUCCGGAUUUAUUGGGCGUAAAGCGAGCGCAGGCGGUUAGAUAAGUCUGAAGUUAAAGGCUGUGGCUUAACCAUAGUACGCUUUGGAAACUGUUUAACUUGAGUGCAAGAGGGGAGAGUGGAAUUCCAUGUGUAGCGGUGAAAUGCGUAGAUAUAUGGAGGAACACCGGUGGCGAAAGCGGCUCUCUGGCUUGUAACUGACGCUGAGGCUCGAAAGCGUGGGGAGCAAACAGGAUUAGAUACCCUGGUAGUCCACGCCGUAAACGAUGAGUGCUAGGUGUUAGACCCUUUCCGGGGUUUAGUGCCGCAGCUAACGCAUUAAGCACUCCGCCUGGGGAGUACGACCGCAAGGUUG
rnacentral:rRNA from 1 species